rnacentral:rRNA from 1 species
CGACGAGCGGCGGACGGGUGAGUAAUGCUUGGGAAUAUGCCUUAUGGUGGGGGACAACAGUUGGAAACGACUGCUAAUACCGCAUAACGUCUACGGACCAAAGGGGGGGAUCUUCGGACCUCUCGCCAUUUGAUUAGCCCAAGUGAGAUUAGCUAGUUGGUGAGGUAAUGGCUCACCAAGGCGACGAUCUCUAGCUGGUUUGAGAGGAUGAUCAGCCACACUGGGACUGAGACACGGCCCAGACUCCUACGGGAGGCAGCAGUGGGGAAUAUUGCACAAUGGGCGAAAGCCUGAUGCAGCCAUGCCGCGUGUGUGAAGAAGGCCUUCGGGUUGUAAAGCACUUUCAGUUGUGAGGAAAGGGUGUUGGUUAAUAGCCAAUAUCUGUGACGUUAACAACAGAAGAAGCACCGGCUAACUUCGUGCCAGCAGCCGCGGUAAUACGAGGGGUGCAAGCGUUAAUCGGAAUUACUGGGCGUAAAGCGUUCGUAGGCGGUCUAUUAAGCAAGAUGUGAAAGCCCAGGGCUCAACCUUGGAACUGCAUUUUGAACUGGUAGACUAGAGUACUGUAGAGGGUGGUGGAAUUUCCAGUGUAGCGGUGAAAUGCGUAGAGAUUGGAAGGAACAUCAGUGGCGAAGGCGGCCACCUGGACAGAUACUGACGCUGAGGAACGAAAGCGUGGGGAGCGAACAGGAUUAGU